UACGGAGGGGGCAAGCGUUAUCCGGAUUCACUGGGUUUAAAGGGUGCGUAGGUGGGUUGGUAAGUCAGUGGGGAAAUCUCCGUGCUUAACAUGGAAACUGCCAUUGAUACUACUGAUCUUGAAUUUUCUGGAGGUAAGCGGAAUAUGUCAUGUAGCGGUGAAAUGCUUAGAUAUGACAUAGAACACCAAUUGCGAAGGCAGCUUGCUACAGGGAUAUUGACACUGAGGCACGAAAGCGUGGGGAGCAAACAGG
rnacentral:rRNA from 1 species